rnacentral:rRNA from 1 species
AUUGAACGCUGGCGGCAGGCCUAACACAUGCAAGUUGAACGAGUGGCGGACGGGUGAGUAAUGUCUGGGAAACUGCCUGAUGGAGGGGGAUAACUCCUGGAAAAGGUAGCUAAUACCGCAUACCAUCAGAUGUGCCCAGAUGGGAUUAGCUUGUUGGUGGGGUAACGGCUCACCAAGGAGACGAUCCCUAGCUGGUCUGAGAGGAUGCUAAGCCACAAUGGGACUGAGACACGGCCCAUACUCCGACGGGAGGCAGCAGUGGGGAAUUGUACACAAUGGGGGAAAGCCUGACGUAGCGACACAGCGUGAGCGAAGAAGACCUUUGGGGUGUAAAGAUCUGUCAACAGGCGGUACCUGUGGAGGAAGCAUCGGCUAACUACGUGCCAGCAGCCGCGGUAAUUC